UAAAGCUCAAAGGACACAUUACACCU
rnacentral:piRNA from 1 species